rnacentral:rRNA from 1 species
AAGUCCCGCAAGGGAUAAGUAGAGUGGCAAACGGGUGAGUAACACGUGGGUGACCUACCUUCGAGUGGGGGAUAACCUUCCGAAAGGAGGGCUAAUACCGCAUGACAUCCCAUGUUUGGAUACAUGGACAUCAAAGCCGGGGAUCGCAAGACCUGGCGCUUGAAGAGGGACCUGCGCCCGAUUAGCUAGUUGGUGAGGUAACGGCUCACCAAGGCUUCGAUCGGUAUCCGGCCUGAGAGGGCGGACGGACACACUGGAACUGAGACACGGUCCAGACUCCUACGGGAGGCAGCAGUGGGGAAUUGUUCGCAAUGGGCGCAAGCCUGACGACGCAACGCCGCGUGGAGGAUGAAGACUUUCGGG